rnacentral:rRNA from 1 species
UCGGGUUGUAAAGCACUUUUGUCCGGAAAGAAAACAUAUGCACUAAUACUGUGUGUGGAUGACGGUACCGGAAGAAUAAGCACCGGCUAACUACGUGCCAGCAGCGCGGUAAUCGUAGGGUGCGAGCGUUAAUCGGAAUUACUGGGCGUAAAGCGUGCGCAGGCGGUUCGUUAAGACAGAUGUGAAAUCCCCGGGCUUAACCUGGGAACUGCAUUUGUGACUGGCGAGCUAGAGUAUGGCAGAGGGGGGUAGAAUUCCACGUGUAGCAGUGAAAUGCGUAGAGAUGUGGAGGAAUACCGAUGGCGAAGGCAGCCCCCUGGGCCAAUACUGACGCUCAUGCACGAAAGCGUGGGGAGCAAACAGGAUUAGAUACCCUGGUAGUCCACGCCCUAAACGAUGUCAACUAGUUGUUGGGGAUUCAUUUCCUUAGUAACGUAGCUAACGCGUGAAGUUGACCGCCUGGGGAGUACGGUCGCAAGAUUAAAACUCAAAGGAAUUGACGGGGACCCGCACAAGCGGUGGAUGAUGUGGAUUAAUUCGAUGCAACGCGAAAAACCUUACCUACCCUUGACAUGGUCGGAACCUGGCUG